rnacentral:tRNA from 1 species
UACAUCGGCCGGGGAUCGAACCCGGGCCGCCCGCGUGGCAGGCGAGAAUUCUACCACUGAACCACCAAUGC